AACAAAUCCACAGAUCCCCUUGAAAUCUAUCCAAUGAUCAUCUGUGGACACCAGGCUAAGCAUCUCUGCCUUAGAAGAUUCCAGAGCUAACUGCUUUCUCCACCCUUUUCCUACCUCCUCCCCAUUCUCUUAGGUAUGCCAGUUUCUACAAGGUGCCACAGUCAAAAACACCCCCAGAACAGCAAGUCCCUUAUGCCAUCAAGGGCAACCAGUGGGUUGGCUUUGAUGAUGUGGAGAGUGUGGAGACCAAGGUCCAGUAUUUGAAGAACUCAAGAUUGGGAGGGCCCAUGAUUUGGUCCAUCGACUUGGAUGAUUUUACUUUUAAAUUCUGCAAAAAGUGUUCAUUUCUGCUCCUCCAGGCAAUCAAGAAAACACUGGACUCUGCCAAUAAAGUUUAAACUAGAAACUGAACACCUGGCAUUCCUCCACCUUGACAGUGCUCACAGAUGGAUGCCCUGAGACUGUGGCUAGCUUUGCUGUCCUACCCACUCCACCAGACAGCCUCACUUCAUUCUCAAGCUGCUGAACAGAAUAAAAUAGAAAUGAUUCUA